AGAGCGAACGCUGGCGGCAGGCCUAAUACAUGCAAGUCGAACGGACCCUUCGGGGUUAGCGGCGGACGGGUGAGUAACACGUGGGAACGUGCCCUUUGGUUCGGAACAACUCAGGGAAACUUGAGCUAAUACCGAAUGUGCCCUUUGGGGGAAAGAUUUAUCGCCAUUGGAGCGACCCGCGUCUGAUUAGCUAGUUGGUGAGGUAAAGGCUCACCAAGGCGACGAUCAGUAGCUGGUCUGAGAGGAUGAUCAGCCACACUGGGACUGAGACACGGCCCAGACUCCUACGGGAGGCAGCAGUAGGGAAUCUUGCGCAAUGGGCGAAAGCCUGACGCAGCCAUGCCGCGUGAAUGAUGAAGGUCUUAGGAUUGUAAAAUUCUUUCAGCGGGGACGAUAAUGACGGUACCCGCAGAAGAACGCCCCGGCUAACUUCGUGCCAGCCAGCCGC
rnacentral:rRNA from 1 species